CAACCAUCAAGCCCCGGGCUUGUGUUGGGGACCUGCGGCUGCCGCAGGCCCUGAAAACCAGUGGCGGGCUCGCUAGUCACCCCGAGCGUAGUAGUUACAUCUCGCCCAGGGCGUGCUGCGGGUUCCGGCCGUUAAAACCCCUUCACCCAA
rnacentral:misc_RNA from 2 species